AUCUGACGUAUGUGUACUUACGUUGACCGCUGUUGGGUGUUGUGUGGUGGAUGUUCUCUGGCUGUGUCGCGUACAAUAAGAACGGUAGAAGAGUUUCUGAACUCCGGUCGCCUCGGCAGUGCGCCAUUGGCCAGCAAAGUCGCGUUUUCCUAAACCCAUAGUUCAUACCGUGUCGUCUGGCAUGGACGUAGACCACUGUUGGGUGCUGUGUCGCGUACAUACAACAAGAACCGUGGAAGAAUUUCUGAACCCUGUCCGCCCCGCCAGUAGGCCAUUGGCCAGCAAAGGCACACAGCGAUCGGACUGAGCAUAUCAAGUAGCCCCUCCUGUGACCCACAAGACCACACUAAUUUGGCCAAGGAGCCUGUCUGGACUUAUGUUGG